rfam:Oryza sativa (indica cultivar-group) chromosome 12, whole genome shotgun sequence.
GAGCAAAGGGGCCUGAUAAAGUGGCGAUCUUUGGAUUGAAGGUUGGCGACAAUGAUUGCAGUUCUCCAUGCCGCUCAGAUUUUCCUCUAUUUUGUGACGGCCUCGAACAAGCUGCUACAUC